GGAGCAGUGGCCGAGUGGCUUAAGGCGACGGUCUUGAAAACCGUUGGGCCGAAAGGCCCCGGGGGUUCGAAUCCCUCCUGCUCCG
rnacentral:tRNA from 1 species